GAUGAAGAACGCAGCGAAACGCGAUAUGUAAUGUGAAUUGCAGAAUUCAGUGAAUCAUCGAAUCUUUGAACGCACAUGGCGCCUUCCAGUAUCCUGGGAGGCAUGCCUGUCCGAGCGUCGUUUCAACCCUCGAGCCCCCGUGGCCCGGCGUUGGGGAUCUGCCACGGCAGGCCCCUAAAACCAGUGGCGGACCCGAAGGCCCUCUCCUUUGCGCAGUAGCAUCAGCCUCGCAUUGGGAUCCCUCGGCGUCCUGCCUCUAAACCCCCCACAAGUCCGCUCCGGCGGCACCAAGGUUGACCUCGGAUCAGGUAGGAAUACCCGCUGAACUUAAGCAUAUCAAUAAGCAGAGGA
rnacentral:misc_RNA from 1 species